rnacentral:tRNA from 1 species
GCCUUCGUGGUGUAGUGGUCUGCAUGUUCGACGCGUAACCGAGAGGUCCGUGGUUCAAUUCCCGGCGAAGGCU